rnacentral:rRNA from 1 species
UAGGGAAUCUUCGGCAAUGGACGAAAGUCUGACCGAGCAACGCCGCGUGAGUGAAGAAGGUUUUCGGAUCGUAAAACUCUUUUGUUAGAGAAGAACAAGGACGUUAGUAACUGAACGUCCCCUGACGGUAUCUAACCAGAAAGCCACGGCUAACUACGUGCCAGCAGCCGCGGUAAUACGUAGGUGGCAAGCGUUGUCCGGAUUUAUUGGGCGUAAAGCGAGCGCAGGCGGUUUCUUAAGUCUGAUGUGAAAGCCCCCGGCUCAACCGGGGAGGGUCAUUGGAAACUGGGAGACUUGAGUGCAGAAGAGGAGAGUGGAAUUCCAUGUGUAGCGGUGAAAUGCGUAGAUAUAUGGAGGAACACCAGUGGCGAAGGCGGCUCUCUGGUCUGUAACUGACGCUGAGGAUCGAAAGCGUGGGGAGCAAACAGG